UACAGGGGGUGCAAACGUUGCUCGGAAUCAUUGGGCGUAAAGCGCACGUAGGCGGUCUGUUAUGUCGGAUGUGAAAGCCCUUGGCUUAACUGAGGAAGUGCAUCCGAAACUGGCAGGCUAGAGUACUAAAGAGGGUCGCGGAAUUCCCGGUGUAGAGGUGAAAUUCGUAGAUAUCGGGAGGAACGCCGGUGGCGAAGGCGGCGACCUGGGUAGAUACUGACGCUGAGGUGCGAAAGCGUGGGGAGCAAACAGG
rnacentral:rRNA from 1 species